AACAGUGCGCUGUCUUUGUUCACGAUACAGGUGAACGACAAUCAUGUGAUUAACACACACUCACACGCACACACACACACAUACACACACACAUAAAAAGCUUUUUAAGAGCGUCCAGCUUGCCUCAGACCCGAAGACGAGAGAGGAGACCCAGGCUUGGAGGAGCAGAGGCAGCAGCGGCUGGGCAGCAGGGCCAGGCUGGGGACAGCAGGAAGACCCCAUCCCACCUCGCUGGCCUCUUCCCUCUGGCACGGACGAGCAGACACGCCAUCUUGCUGUGAAACCCCUUCCCAUGGAGUCAGGGGCCCACUAUCAGAAGUCUCAGUGAACUCACUGCAAGCAAGACAGCCCACGGAGAAAGUGAUAUGGAUCACUCAGAAAGAGCAAAGAGCUGCCUGCAACCAUUUCUAGAUUUCGGCUCUGGCAGCAUCACAACAGGAAGCAUGUUUGUGUGGUUACAUGACCGUUAGCUGUGCUUUUCCCUCAGUGUAUUUGCAGUAACAUUUGUCAUGAGGUAUUUGGGAAAAAUAAAAGGCACAUAAUGCCUAGAGUUGUUUACCACA